rnacentral:rRNA from 1 species
UGGGGAAUUUUGGACAAUGGGCGAAAGCCUGAUCCAGCAAUGCCGCGUGUGUGAAGAAGGCCUUCGGGUUGUAAAGCACUUUUGUCCGGAAAGAAAUCCUUGGCUCUAAUACAGUCGGGGGAUGACGGUACCGGAAGAAUAAGCACCGGCUAACUACGUGCCAGCAGCCGCGGUAAUACGUAGGGUGCAAGCGUUAAUCGGAAUUACUGGGCGUAAAGCGUGCGCAGGCGGUUUGCUAAGACCGAUGUGAAAUCCCCGGGGCUCAACCUGGGAACUGCAUUGGUGACUGGCAGGCUAGAGUAUGGCAGAGGGGGGUAGAAUUCCACGUGUAGCAGUGAAAUGCGUAGAGAUGUGGAGGAAUACCGAUGGCGAAGGCAGCCCCCUGGGCCAAUACUGACGCUCAUGCACGAAAGCGUGGGGGAGCAAACAGGAUUAGAUACCCUGGUAGUCCACGCCCUAAACGAUGUCAACUAGUUGUUGGGGAUUCAUUUCCUUAGUAACGUAGCUAACGCGUGAAGUUGACCGCCUGGGGGAGUACGGUCGCAAGAUUAAAACUUAAAUGAAUUGACGGGGUCAUAGCUGUUUCC